AUGAUGAAGAUACGGACAGGCUGCACUUUUGCACCGCACAGCAACAUCUUCUCUCCUGAAGUCAAGAUCCUUCGUCCAACCAAGACGGAGGCUUCUCCCAGUGUCCCAACAUCACUGGUUUGUGUGGUCAGCAAAUAUUACCCUGACCACGUGACUGUGAGCUGGCUGGUGGACGGACAGGUGGCCAAAGGGGACAAACAGGACAGCCAGUCGGUGCGUGCGUCUGACAAGACCUACAGCAUGAGCAGCACCCUGUGGCUCCCGCAGGCUGACUGGGAGGCUGCCAAGAGCUUCACCUGUCAGGUCCAACAUGAGAGCCUGAAGAGCCCUGCUACCAACACACUCAGCAAGAGCCAGUGUGAGUAGCCAGGAGCCCAGAGCCAGUACCACACACACACACACACACACACACACACACACACACACACACACACACAC